rnacentral:lncRNA from 1 species
AGGCUGCAAAAGGGAACAAUUUUCCAUCAAUAGGAAUACCCUGAGUUACACCAAUACUUCCACCCAGUUCAUCAAGAAGCUGUGACUCCUUUUCCUCCUCAACCCCAGCACAUCAAAUAUGCAAACAGGUGGAUGUGACUCCUUGUGCAAGGUCGAAUAUAUUUCAUCUGAGAGGUCAAAGUGUAGCAGUGCAGCUGCGGUCUGGGCAUUCCCAGCUGGAGGAAGGUUAUAUCACUUCAUUCCUCAAGUCUGCUCCUUUUUAGUGCUGACUACACCUCUGACUCCUACGCACCCCUACCAUGAAGGAAAAUGGGAGAGGGACUGUGGGCAAGGAGAAAAAGCUGUCCCUUUCAGGACCGCAUGUAGUAUGGUUACAGAACGUGUCUGGAAAGAUGUCAGAUGGAGCCUGAGUUGCAAGGAAGCUGGUUGUUUUCCCUCAGUUCUUAACACCCAUUCUGAACUCUGCGAGGAGGAAUACUGUAUAUUUAAAUGCAUCUGUUGUACAACUGCUGAGUUCAGAGUACUCUACCAAGGGGUGGGGAAUCACACAGAUGGUGUGCUUCAUGACCAAAACCACUUGCUGUUAGAUGCCACAUUCACAGAGAACAUGUAAAUACUUGGCACAGUUGUGAGAGUUUUCAGAGGUGUUACAUUCAUUUAGAGAGUUACAGCUUUGGUGGUGACAGCUUCUCAUUUUGGGCUAGCGGGAUUAAUUCUUCUCUUAUUUUUACUCCUGACAUUCCAAAAAUUGCCAUAAUUUCCUGAUCUAACUUGAGUUGGAAAAGAGUUAUGUUUCCUUAUUUCCCUUAUUCUCCCCCGUAUUUAAAGAUGAUUAGUAUACCAACAGGAACGUGUUGCAGAGGGACUAGGCGGUCAGGAGAAUACCAGCCUUGUGUGUGUGCCAUAAUGGAGUUUUCAGGCCUGUAUUUGUGUUCCUUCCCACAUUUCAAUAAAUGUCACUAGCAGCCAAUAGCA